AUUGAACGCUGGCGGAAUGCUUUACACAUGCAAGUCGAGCGGCAGCACGGGGGCAACCCUGGUGGCGAGCGGCGAACGGGUGAGUAAUACAUCGGAACAUGCCCAGUCGUGGGGGAUAACACUUCGAAAGAAGUGCUAAUACCGCAUACGUCCUGAGGGAGAAAGCGGGGGAUCUUCGGACCUCGCGCGAUUGGAGUGGCCGAUGUCAGAUUAGCUAGUUGGGGGGGUAAAGGCCUACCAAGGCAACGGUCUGUAGCUGGUCUGAGAGGAUGAUCCGCCACCCUGGGACUGAGACACGGCCCAGACUCCUACGGGAGGCAGCAGUGGGGAAUUUUGGACAAUGGGGGCAACCCUGAUCCAGCCAUUCCGCGUGAGUGAAGAAGGCCUUCGGGUUGUAAAGCUCUUUCGGCAGGAACGAAACGGCGAGCUCUAACAUAGCUUGCUAAUGACGGUACCUGAAGAAGAAGCACCGGCUAACUACGUGCCAGCAGCCGCCGUAAUAC
rnacentral:rRNA from 1 species